rnacentral:ncRNA from 1 species
GAAAUCCUGUCUGAAGAUGGGGGGACCAUCCUCCAAGGCUAAAUACUCGUAAUCGACCGAUAGUGAACCAGUACCGUGAGGGAAAGGCGAAAAGAACCCCGGGAGGGGAGUGAAAUAGAACCUGAAACCGUGUGCAUACAAACAGUCGGAGCCUCUUCGUGGGGUGACGGCGUACCUUUUGUAUAAUGGGUCAGCGACUUACAUUCAGUGGCGAGGUUAACCGAAUAGGGGAGCCGUAGAGAAAUCGAGUCCGAACAGGGCGACAGUCGCUGGGUGUAGACCCGAAACCAGGUGAUCUACCCAUGGCCAGGAUGAAGGUGCGGUAACACGCCCUGGAGGUCCGAACCCACUAAUGUUGAAAAAUUAGGGGAUGAGCUGUGGGUAGGGGUGAAAGGCUAAACAAACCUGGAAAUAGCUGGUUCUCUCCGAAAACUAUUUAGGUAGUGCCUCAAGUAUCACCAUCGGGGGUAGAGCACUGUUAUGGCUAGGGGGUCAUUGCGACUUACCAAACCAUUGCAAACUCCGAAUACCGAUGAGUGCGAGCUUGGGAGACAGACGUCGGGUGCUAACGUCCGGCGUCAAGAGGGAAACAACCCAGACCGCCAGCUAAGGUCCCAAAGAUUGGCUAAGUGGAAAACGAAGUGGGAAGGCUAAAACAGUCAGGAUGUUGGCUUAGAAGCAGCCAUCAUUUAAAGAAAGCGUAAUAGCUCACUGAUCGAGUCGUCCUGCGCGGAAGAUGUAACGGGGCUAAGCCAGUCACCGAAGCUGCGGAUAUGU